ACUUUAGGGGUGUUCUAAUACCAGAACUGAGAAAUACCCUUUGAACCUGAUACGGUUAGUACCGACGAAGGAAAAAGUUA
rnacentral:ncRNA from 1 species